rnacentral:rRNA from 1 species
GAUGAACGCUAGCGGCGUGCCUAAUGCAUGCAAGUCGAACGGGAAGCCUUGAUUUCGGUUGAGGUGGAGAGUGGCGAACGGGUGAGUAACGCGUUGGUGACCUGCCCUUGAGAGGGGGACAACCAGUGGAAACGCUGGCUAAUACCCCAGAUGUUUAAUUGGCUAGAAAGAUUAAACUAAAGCUCCGGCGCUCAAGGAGGGGCCAGCGUCCCAUCAGCUAGUUGGUGCGGUAACGGCGUACCAAGGCGAAGACGGGUAGGGGGCGUGAGAGCGUGGCCCCCCACACUGGUACUGGGACACGGACCAGAUACCUACGGGUAGCAGCAGCAAGGAAUAUUGCGCAAUGGGGGAAACCCUGACGCAGCAACGCCGCGUGGAGGAAGAAGGCCUUCGGGUCGUAAACUCCUUUUCUGAGGGAUGAGGAAGGACAGUACCUCAGGAAUAAGGCCCGGCUAACUACGUGCCAGCCGCCGCCGUAACAC